rnacentral:rRNA from 1 species
CAGUCGCCGCGGUAAUACGGAGGGUGCAAGCGUUAAUCGGAAUUACUGGGCGUAAAGCGCACGCAGGCGGUCUGACAAGUCAGAUGUGAAAUCCCCGGGCUUAACCUGGGAACUGCAUUUGAAACUGUCAGGCUGGAGUCUUGUAGAGGGGGGUGGAAUUCCAGGUGUAGCGGUGAAAUGCGUAGAGAUCUGGAGGAAUACCGGUGGCGAAGGCGGCCCCCUGGACAAAGACUGACGCUCAGGUGCGAAAGCGUGGGGAGCAAACAGGAUUAGAUACCCCUGUAGUCCCUGUCUCUUAUCC